rnacentral:rRNA from 1 species
GACAUGGGAAGCUUGCUUCCUAUGAAAUCGAGUGGCAAACGGGUGAGUAACGCGUAAACAACCUGCCCUUCGGAUGGGGAUAACAGCCGGAAACGGCUGCUAAUACCGAAUACGAUCUUUUCGUCGCAUGACGGAAAGAAGAGAGGAUGGCCUCUAUACAAAGCUAUCGCCGAAGGAGGGGUUUGCGUCUGAUUAGCUGGUUGGAGGGGUAACGGCCCAACAAGGCGAUGAUCAGUAGCCGGUCUGAGAGGAUAACGGCCACAUUGGGACUGAGACACGGCCCAGACUCCUACGGGAGGCAGCAGUGGGGAAUCUUCCGCAAUGGACGAAAGUCUGACGGAGCAACGCCGCGUGAGUGAAGAAGGUCUUCGGAUUGUAAAACCCUGUUAUACGGGACGAAAAAGACGGAUGCCAACAGUAUCCGUCCGUGACGGUACC